AUGAACGCUAGCGGCAGGCCUAACACAUGCAAGUCGAGGGAGGAGCUUUCGGGCUUCGACCGGCGUACGGGUGCGUAACGCGUAUACAAUCUGCCUUUCACAUAGGGAUAGCCCGAAGAAAUUUGGAUUAAUACCUAAUGGUAUAUAGGAGUGGCAUCACCUUUAUAUUAAAGCUGAGGCGGUGAAAGAUGAGUAUGCGUUCUAUUAGCUAGUUGGAGAGGUAACGGCUCCCCAAGGCGACGAUAGAUAGGGGUUCUGAGAGGGAUAUCCCCCACACUGGUACUGAGAUACGGACCAGACUCCUACGGGAGGCAGCAGUGAGGAAUAUUGGACAAUGGUCGGAAGACUGAUCCAGCCAUGCCGCGUGCAGGAAGACGGCCUUAUGGGUUGUAAACUGCUUUUGCAGGGGAAGAAUAAGGAGUACGUGUACUUUGAUGACGGUACUCUGCGAAUAAGCAUCGGCUAACUCCGUG
rnacentral:rRNA from 1 species